AUGAAGCGUUCAGCCUCCACAGACGACGAUCUGGGAUCUAGCAAUUGGGAGGCAGCAGACUUGGGUAAUGAAGAGAGAAAACAAAAGUUCUCAAGACUUAUGGGUGUAGGAAAGAAAGAACAUACUGGUCGUCUUGUUAUAGGAGAUCACAAAUCAACAUCUCACUUCCAAACAGGGGAAGAAGACAAGAAAAUAAAUGAAGAACUGGAAUCUCAAUAUCAGCAAAGAAUGGACAGUAAAUUAUCAGGAAGAUAUCGGCGACAUUGUGGACUUGGCUUCAGUGACGUAGAAGAUCAUGAUGGAGAAGGUGAUGUGGCUGGAGAUGAUGAUGACGACAAUGAUAAUUCGCCUGAUCCUGAAAGUCCAGAUGACUCUGAAAGCGAUUCAGAGUCAGAGAAAGAAGAAUCUGCUGAAGAACUCCAAGCUGCUGAGCAUCCUGAUGAGUGGAGGAUCCCAAAAACAAAAAAGAUGCAAAAAGCAAUUCAAUAUUCAAACAAGCUAUUUGUGAUGAAUACAACUUGGCAAAUUCAGGCCUUUUAAAUUCUGACCUGGAUUUUUUGAAUGAACUUGAAAGUUGUCUCUUAAGCCUUGGCUUGUUCCAAUCCCCUACUCAAAGACGGCCCCAGAUGACUCUUCCCAAGUGUCAGUCUCUACUCAAAGGCCUUUAA